rnacentral:rRNA from 1 species
CAGACAAGCUGAGAGGAGGUGCAUGGCCGUCGCCAGCUCGUGCCGUGAGGUGUCCUGUUAAGUCAGGUAACGAGCGAGAUCCCUGCCUCUAGUUGCUACCAUUAUUCUCAGGAGUAGUGGAGCUAAUUAGAGGGACCGCCGUCGCUGAGACGGAGGAAGGUGGGGGCUACGGCAGGUCAGUAUGCCCCGAAACCCUCGGGCCACACGCGGGCUGCAAUGGUAAGGACAAUGAGUUUCGAUUCCGAAAGGAGGAGGCAAUCUCUAAACCUUACCACAGUUAUGAUUGAGGGCUGAAACUCGCCCUCAUGAAUAUGGAAUCCCUAGUAACCGCGUGUCACUAUCGCGCGGUGAAUACGUCCCUGCUCCUUGCACUCACCGCCCGUAAUCACUAGUG